UGUGGGUGUGGGUGUGGGUGUGGGUGUGGGUGUGUUCGCUAUUGUCUACGUGUGUGAAUGAGAGUGUGCAGAGAAAAGCUACGUGUGUGAAUGAGAGUGUGCAGAGAAAAGAUGUGUUGUUCUUGGCUAAUUCAUGAAAAAUAAUCACUAGGCUUCACAUAAAACUUGAAGAAUGGCCCUGCAGUUUUACUAGAGUGCUUCGCUUGGGCUUUUGCGGAUGGUUUGACUCUCCCGACUGCGAGAAGAAAGGAUGGAAGAAGAUAAGACUUUAUUGCCUUCCAUCACAGUGGGGAAUGUGGAGGUGCCGCUGUGGUGGAUGUUUACAUUAAUUUUUAUGUAGAUUUGCGGCUUGUUGCUUUUUUGGUAUAACUGUAUGGCAAACCAAAUUCCCCAUAUGUUGCAAAUAAUGUGGCUAAUAAAUUAUGAUUAUGAUGA